UGUGGAAUAUCUAUCCCAUUGCAUGAACAACUGACGAAAAGGCUAGGGUGAAAAAUGGGAUUUCAGAAAUUAUAGCAUACAAAUUUUGCAAUAAGCAUUUAAAAUGCAGUUUUUAAUUAAUGCAAUACCAUGUUUUUGCAUAAAUUGUAAAAUUUAGCAAAAACUUUAUAAAACUCAUAAACAUUUCUAUAUUAGGCCACACCAAUUUAAUUCCUUGUUCGACGGACCCGCCCGCACCUAUUUUUUUCAAAACAGAUUUUUUUUAUUUUUAUUAUAUUCCCGCUUCCCGCAUCCGGAAAUGUAAUCAUGUCCAUUUCCUGCACCGUUUUUUUUUUUUGUUUUUAAUAUUAUAAAAAGAUCUCAACAUUUGUUUUUAAAAUCACAGUAUAACAUUUAUAUAACGAUUUUAAACCUAUAAGCACCCCACAACACUGUAAAUAUCUGUGAGAAUAUUUGUUUCAGCAUGAGUGGAGUGGGAGUGCUCCGAUAAAAAUAUAUUUAUAACAGCGGGAAUACCUGUUCAGAACAAAACAUUGGUUUCUUUCCCCCUGAAUUAUAUUCCCUAUCAAAAAAUGUUCGUUGUUAAAAUAAGGUACAAAUAACUUCUGAAGGAUUUGCCUUCAACUGCAAUUAUAAUGUAUGCUGAAGGUCAUAACCGCUGCAGGUUUGUGCCUGUCCUG
rnacentral:lncRNA from 1 species